GCGCAUCUCUUAAUUUAAUUUGAUUUUAACGGAAUUUCAGACCAAAUAUUAAUAUUGUUAUUAUAUUGUUGUGAAAAUGAUAAGAAAUCACCGUCAGUCGCCGCAUUUAUUACUGCUAUUAUAGGGCAACAUCGUCAACACUAUCAGGUGGAGCCAAGCGCGGAUCAACAUCAUCAACACUUAACAGGUGGAAGCCAAGGGCCGACAAGAUGCCGAACAGAGCUUUAACGGCUUGGUGAAGUUUUCAAAAGGACGAAGAAUUCUCUCCGUUGGUUCCCCAGGAGGAAUUUCAAAACCAGGUCUCAAAUCAACACCUGUCAAUUAAUAAAUUAAAAACACAGAGAUCAGCAGAUAAAAGAAAUGGGAAAGAAACGGCAGCACGGACGAAUAGGACAAUCAGCAAUUAAAGUAAAAAUAACAGUGAUUUUAAAAUUAAAAAAAAAAAAUCAUUUGGUACCAAAUCAUUAUGACGACUAGUGUCGCUCCCACGAUAAUGGCCUUAAUUAGGCUUGGUAAAAAAGCCUGGUCGAGCUAGCUGCUAG
rnacentral:lncRNA from 1 species